rnacentral:rRNA from 1 species
AACGAACGCUGGCGGCAGGCCUAACACAUGCAAGUCGAGCGGACCUUUCGGGGUCAGCGGCGGACGGGUGAGUAACGCGUGGGAAUAUGCCCUUCUCUACGGAAUAGUCCUGGGAAACUGGGGGUAAUACCGUAUACGCCCUUUGGGGGAAAGAUUUAUCGGGGAAGGAUUAGCCCGCGUUGGAUUAGGUAGUUGGUGGGGUAAUGGCCUACCAAGCCGCCGAUCCAUAGCUGGUUUGAGAGGAUGAUCAGCCACACUGGGACUGAGACACGGCCCAGACUCCUACGGGAGGCAGCAGUGGGGAAUCUUAGACAAUGGGGGCAACCCUGAUCUAGCCAUGCCGCGUGAGUGAUGAAGGCCUUAGGGUUGUAAAGCUCUUUCAGCUGGGAAGAUAAUGACGGUACCAGCAGAAGAAGCCCCGGCUAACUCCGUG